rnacentral:rRNA from 1 species
AGGCAGCAGUGGGGAAUAUUGGGCAAUGGUCGAGAGACUGACCCAGCCAUGCCGCGUGCAGGAUGAAGGCUUUCUGAGUCGUAAACUGCUUUUACCAGGGGAGAAAAAAGGGGAUGCGUCCUCUACUGACGGUACCUGGUGAAUAAGCACCGGCUAACUCCGUGCCAGCAGCCGCGGUAAUACGGAGGGUGCAAGCGUUGUCCGGAUUUAUUGGGUUUAAAGGGUGCGUAGGCGGCUUUUUAAGUCUGGGGUGAAAGCCCGUUGCUCAACAACGGAACUGCCCUGGAAACUGGAGAGCUUGAGUACAGACGAGGGUGGCGGAAUGGAUACUGUAGCGGUGAAAUGCAUAGAUAGUAUCCAGAACCCCGAUUGCGAAGGCAGCUGCCUAGACUGUAACUGACGCUGAGGCACGAAAGCGUGGGGAGCGAACAGGAUUAGAUACCCUGGUAGUCCACGCCGUAAACGAUGGAUACUCGCUGCGGGCGAUAGACGGUCCGUGGCUUAGCGAAAGCGUUAAGUAUCCCACCUGGGGAGUACGCUCGCAAGAGUGAAACUCAAAAGAAUUGACGGGGGCCCGCACAAGUGGUGGAGCAUGUGGUUUAAUUCGAUGAUACGCGAGGAACCUUACCUAGGCUAGAAUGCGCGUGACCGGUCCAGAGAUGGACCUUUCCUUCGGGACACAAAGCAAGGUGCUGCAUGGCCGUCGUCAGCUCGUGCCGUGAGGUGUUGGGUUAAGUCCCGCAACGAGCGC